rnacentral:rRNA from 1 species
GGUUAAGUGAAUAAGGGCGCACGGUGGAUGCCUUGGCACUAGGAGCCGAUGAAGGACGGGACUAACACCGAUAUGCUUUGGGGAGCUGUACGUAAGCUAUGAUCCAGAGAUUUCCGAAUGGGGGAACCCAACAUCUUUAAUAGGAUGUUACGAUUGUGUGAAUACAUAGCACAUUCGAGGUAGACGCAGAGAACUGAAACAUCUAAGUACCUGCAGGAAGAGAAAGAAAAUUCGAUUCCCUGAGUAGCGGCGAGCGAAACGGGAAAAGCCCAAACCAGCAAGCUUGCUUGUUGGGGUUGUAGGACUCCAAUAUGGUAGUUCUUUCAGAUAGUCGAAUGACUUGGAAAAGUCAGUCAAAGAGGGUAAAAACCCCGUAGACGAAAUGUGGAAGACACCUAGGAGGAUCCUGAGUACGGCGGAACACGAGAAAUUCCGUCGGAAUCCGGGAGGACCAUCUCCCAAGGCUAAAUACUCCCUAGUGACCGAUAGUGAACCAGUACCGUGAGGGAAAGGUGAAAAGCACCCCGGAAGGGGAGUGAAAUAGAACCUGAAACCGUGUGCCUACAACAAGUCAAAGCCCGUUAAUGGGUGAUGGCGUGCCUUUUGUAGAAUGAACCGGCGAGUUACGAUUGCAUGCGAGGUUAAGUUGAAGAGACGGAGCCGCAGCGAAAGCGAGUCUGAAUAGGGCGUUUGAGUAUGUAGUCGUAGACCCGAAACCAUGUGAUCUACCCAUGUCCAGGUUGAAGGUGCGGUAAAACGCACUGGAGGACCGAACCCACGUACGUUGAAAAGUGCGGGGAUGAGGUGUGGGUAGCGGAGAAAUUCCAAACGAACUUGGAGAUAGCUGGUUCUCUCCGAAAUAGCUUUAGGGCUAGCCUCGGAAUUGAGAAUGAUGGAGGUAGAGCACUGUUUGGACUAGGGGCCCAUCUCGGGUUACCGAAUUCAGAUAAACUCCG